UACAGAGGGUGCGAGCGUUAAUCGGAGUUACUGGGCGUAAAGGGCGCGUAGGUGGUUUAGGUAAGUGAGAUGUGAAAGUCCCUGGGCUUAACCUAGGAACUGCAUCUUAUACUGUUAGACUUGAGUACUGUAGAGGGUAGUGGAAUUUCCGGUGUAGCGGUGAAAUGCGUAGAGAUCGGAAGGAACACCAGUGGCGAAGGCGGCUACCUGGA
rnacentral:rRNA from 1 species